rnacentral:rRNA from 1 species
UACGUAGGGGGCAAGCGUUGUCCGGAAUUACUGGGCGUAAAGGGCGCGUAGGCGGCCAUCUAAGUCAGACGUGAAAUCCCCCGGCUUAACCUGGGAACUGCGUCUGAUACUGGACGGCUUGAGUAUGGGAGAGGGAUGUAGAAUUCCAGGUGUAGCGGUGAAAUGCGUAGAUAUCUGGAGGAAUACCGGUGGCGAAGGCGGCAUCCUGGACCAGUACUGACGCUGAGGCGCGAAAGCUAGGGGAGCAAACAGG